GUUGUGGGGGCGUGGCCAGGCUGCUCCGGGCCAGGACUCUAGGGGCGGAAGGUUGUGGCGCUGGCCAUCCGGCUAGAGGAAGACUCCGAGGUCGCGGAUCCAGGCCCCGCCCGAGGCACUAGAGCAGCCAGCCCGUGAGCAGAGAGGGCUCUGGUCAGGCCUCAAGGGGCCCAUGGCAAGCAGAUGGCUGGCUCUGCUCUGGGCUCCUGUCUUCCUCUGUGUGGCUCUGAUACUGGAGACGGCGUCUGGGACCGGAGACCCAUCCACAAAAGCCCAUGGACACAUCCAGUUUUCAGCUGGAAGUGUCAACCAGACUGCCAUGGCGGAUUGCCGAGCCGUGUGUGGCCUGAACACAUCUGAUCGCUGUGACUUUGUCAGGAGGAAUCCGGACUGCCGCAGCGAGGCGGGCUACCUGGACUACCUUGAGGGCAUCUUCUGCUACUUCCCCCCCAACCUCCUCCCUCUGGCCAUCACCCUCUACGUUUUCUGGCUGCUUUACCUCUUUCUGAUCCUGGGAGUCACCGCGGCCAAGUUCUUCUGCCCUAACCUGUCAGCCAUCUCCACUAACCUCAAACUCUCCCACAACGUGGCAGGUGUCACCUUCCUGGCCUUUGGAAAUGGCGCUCCAGACAUCUUCAGUGCUUUAGUGGCUUUCUCAGACCCACGUACUGCCGGCCUGGCCAUCGGGGCUCUGUUUGGUGCAGGGGUGCUGGUCACCACUGUGGUGGCUGGAGGCAUCACCAUCCUGCAUCCCUUCAUGGCUGCCUCCAGGCCCUUCCUCAGGGACAUCGCUUUCUACAUGGUGGCUGUGUUCCUAACCUUCACUGCACUCUAUCUCGGCAGGAUCACGCUGACGUGGGCGCUGGGUUACCUGGGCCUCUACGUGUUCUACGUGGUCACGGUCAUCAUCUGCACUUGGGUCUACCAACGGCAGCGAAGCAGGUCUCUGGUCCACUCCAUAUCGGAGACACCAGAGUUGCUGUCUGAGUCAGAGGAGGACCAGAUGUCUUCCAACACCAACAGCUAUGACUAUGGAGAUGAAUACCGGCCUCUGUUGCUGGGUCGGGAGACCACUGUCCAGAUCCUGAUCCAAGCCCUGAAUCCCUUGGACUACAGGAAGUGGAGAACUCAGUCGAUAUCCUGGAGGGUCCUGAAGGUAGUCAAGUUGCCUGUGGAGUUCUUGUUGCUGCUCACAGUACCGGUUGUGGACCCCGACAAGGACGAUCGGAAUUGGAAACGGCCACUCAACUGUCUGCAGCUGGUCAUCAGCCCCCUGGUCCUGGUCCUGACCCUGCAGUCGGGGAUGGCAUCUAUGAGAUCGGCGGUCUCCUUCCUGUCUGGGCUGUGGUGGUGAUCGUGGGCACAGCGCUGGCUUCAGUGACCUUCUUUGCCACGUCUAACAGAGAACCCCCUAGACUGCACUGGCUCUUUGCUUUCCUGGGUUUCCUGACCAGUGCCCUGUGGAUCAAUGCAGCCGCCACAGAGGUGGUGAACAUAUUACGGUCCCUGGGUGUGAUCUUCCGCCUGAGCAACACCGUCCUAGGGCUGACCCUCCUGGCCUGGGGAAACAGCAUUGGAGAUGCCUUCUCAGAUUUCACGCUGGCCCGCCAAGGAUACCCUCGGAUGGCCUUCUCCGCCUGUUUCGGGGGCAUCAUCUUCAACAUCCUGGUUGGUGUGGGGCUGGGCUGCUUGCUGCAGAUCAUCAGGAACCACGUUGUGGAGGUGAAGCUGGAGCCAGACGGAUUACUGGUGUGGGUGCUGGCCAGUGCCCUGGGCCUCAGCUUGAUCUUCUCCCUGGUCUCCGUGCCGCUUCAGUGUUUCCAGCUCAGCAAGGCUUACGGCCUCUGCCUCCUCCUCUUCUACAUCUGUUUCCUUGUUGUGGUCCUGCUCACAGAGUUUGGGGUGAUUCACCUGAAGAAGGCGUGACUGAAGCUGCUUGGCCUAGAGGUGUGGGGGCGAUUCUGCUAGCCUCCUGAGGGGGAGGUGUGGGGAGGGGGACCCUCUGUGGUCCCCGUGGAUCUCCUGAGAAGAUAGUCACUGGCAGAGCUCUGCAUGGGUGAGAAGGUCCUGACUGCCGGCACCUAACAGCCUUAGUGUGGGGAUCUGGAGGCUGGCUUUGCUGGGGACAAUCCCGGGUAGGAAUGAUGGGAUCUAAAUGACACCGGAGGCUCUGGGGGGAGGGCAGCCUUUCAGUCAGCCCCCAUGCCUGCUGGGCUCUGGGCAGCCCUGCAGUUCCCUCUCUGGCUCUUCCACUCUCUGUGGGGUCCUGCGUACCUACAGGGUGGCCUGAAAACAGACUCCACACGUGGAAACAAGACUGGGUUUCUCAGCUUCCGUGUCAAGUCAGCCAGAGGAAAGAGGUCGAGUUGACAGCAGCAGGCACUGCCCUUCCUAGUUGGUGGCUGCCAUGUUGGACUGUGGAUCUAAACACUUCUAGAGCUUUGUGGUCCAAACUCUGGCUCUCCCGUCUGCAAAACAGGAGCCAGCCUGGGCUCUGUGCCUACCUCAAGGGGAGCUGGGGGUUGGGGGGACUGACCCUCCCCAGGGAGGUCUUACAAGUAGUGUGACCAGUCUUUUGUUUGUUUGUUUGGUUGGUUGUUUUUUGGAGACAGGGUUUCUCUGUGUAGCCCUGGCUGUCCUGGAACUCACUCUGUAGACCAGGCUGGCCUUGAACUCAGAAAUCUGCCUGCCUUUGCCUCCCAAGUGCUGGGACUAAAGGUGUGUGCCACCACUGUCCAGCUUGUGACCAGCCUUUUAAAAGUGCCACUCACUCCCUGACUGCCUUCAGCUGUAAUUAAGAGACUUGACUGUUGGGGUUUUUUUUUUGUUUGUUUGUUUUUUGUUUUUGUUUUUUGUUGUUUCCAAAAAUAAAAGAUGAGUUAUUUCACACGUA